UUGUUGGAGAGUUUGAUCCUGGCUCAGGACGAACGCUGGCGGCGUGCUUAACACAUGCAAGUCGUACGCUGAAGCCCGCGCUUGCGUGGGUGGAUGAGUGGCGAACGGGUGAGUAACACGUGGGUAAUCUGCCUUGUACUCUGGGAUAAGCCUGGGAAACUGGGUCUAAUACCGGAUAGGACCAUUCCUCGCAUGGGGGGUGGUGGAAAGCUCCGGCGGUAUGAGUUGAGCCCGCGGCCUAUCAGCUUG
rfam:Prauserella sp. Am3 HQ32_scaffold_25.26, whole genome shotgun sequence.